rnacentral:SRP_RNA from 1 species
GCUGGUUGUAGUGGUGCACACCUAUAAUCCUAGCACCCAGAGAAGUUGAGGUUGGUGGAUUUCUUGAGCUCUGGAGUUCUGAGCUGUGGUAAGCUAUGCCAAUCAUGUGUCCACAUUAAGUUUGGCAUCAAUAUGUUGAACUCCUGGGAGCAGAGGGCCACUAGGUUGCGUGAGAAGGGGUAAACUGGCCCAGGUCAGUUUGAUGAGAAGAAGGUCAAAGCCCCAGGGUUAAACUGUAGGAGAAUCAGUCCAUGAGUUGUGGCCCCUGAACUUCCAACCUGGGCAAGAUGGGGGAGAUCCAGUCAU